GUUGAAGGUUUAGUAGAUCAUAU
rnacentral:snRNA from 1 species